rnacentral:rRNA from 1 species
UACGGAGGGGGCGAGCGUUAUUCGGAAUUAUUGGGCGUAAAGGGCGCGUAGGCGGCGCGAUAAGUCAAAGGUGAAAUCCCUCGGCUCAACUGAGGAACUGCCUUUGAGACUGUCGAGCUUGAGGCCGGGAGGGGGUAGCGGAAUUCCCAAUGUAGCGGUGAAAUGCGUAGAUAUUGGGAGGAACACCAGUGGCGAAGGCGGCUACCUGGACCGGUUCUGACGCUGAGGCGCGAAAGCGUGGGUAGCAAACAGG